CGACAUAUAUAUUUCUUCCAAUGAAGAAGAGGAACUAAUUCGUAAAUGGUUGCCUCGAAAAAAAGGGUUUUGAUGUGUAUCUAUUUUUCAGGGACGGUACAAUUGGAGAACCUCCGGAACAAGAAACAAUUGACGUCAUAUCAAAAAGUCGCUAUUUUAUUAUACUUAUUAGUGUCGAUACACAAGGUAAUCAACAAUGGAAC
rnacentral:lncRNA from 1 species